AACAAAGUUAAUCUAAAGAAUUAACUCUAAAGCUACAGUGUCAAAAGUAUGCAUGUUGGUGAAAGAGUCACCACAAGUCAAUGAAAUUAAACUGAAUCCAAAAUAAAUCCACAAAUAUAAGGAUAAUUGAUUUUCAACUAAGGAACAAAGGAAAUUCAAUGGAGGAUAGUUUUUUUCAACAGAUGUCAGCGAAACAGAUACCUAUAUGCAAAAACAUGAUUCUCAACCCAUCCCUUGCCUCAAAUACAAAACUUGAAAAUGAGAAGGUGAUUGGUCCAACCCCCUCUUACAUAGAUGAGGAAAUGAGCACUUGAGAUCUAACUAUAAAGCCAGUUAGUAGCAAGUGGUGCCACUGAUUAAGCCUCCUGAUAUUCGGUUAUGUGUCUGAUCAGCUAGCUUCAGACUAAACUGAGUCUUUUGCUUAAUAAUUUGCCUAAGAAACGCAGAUACAACACACACACACACACAAACACACACACACGACAGAGAAAAAUACAACUACCAUGCAUCAUGUACACAUCCAAUACUAAGGAAUCCAAAUCAAUUCUUCUUCUUUUUUUAUUAUUUAUUUAUUUAUUUUAUUGUUAUUAUUUUUUGAGACGGAGUUUCACUCUUGCAAGGUUGGUGCUAUAAUUUUUUUAAGUACCUGCAAAUUUCAUUCAGAAUAACCAUAUUUAACUUUUCUCAUAUAAAUGUGGUGGUUGUUCUGGUAUGAGAUUCAGCUCCCUGUCUGUUUGGGUCCUUGGGCUUGGUUCACAGCUUCUCAACAGCUGUCUUCAAACACGCAAGAAUCUACCCUGCCUAUCUGUACCCUCAAAAAUAUUGAGUAUAUCAAUAUAACAAUGAAAAUGUGAACAUUUAAGCAAAAACAAUUUGGCCAAUUAAACCAGAUAUACCAAUUAAUUCAAUGACAAAAAUAAGUCAAAGAACUCAGCUUUGGCACAUGGAGGCAUUCAAGACACCAGCAUCUGUUUUAUUUUUGACAGCAGCGUCUGGUCCUUAUAUAUUCAUCUAACACUUUCAGUAGAUCUUGACUUCGGUAUGAAACUUGCUCACAUUUUCAGAUCUACAAAGGACAGAUUUUAACCAUUAUUCUGAAAAUGCUUUCCUUUCCAUAAGAAAAUGAAGAAAAAAGCCUGCUUUAUAUUAAAAUGCUUAUUUUAGCCAUGAAGAUAAGCCCUAGCCAUUCUCAGAUGCUGAAAUACUUUGGUUUGGAAGAUCUUUACUGCAUGGUUCUUGGCCUGGAGCCUUAUCACGCUAGAGAAUCCAAUCCACGUGAAUGUUCUGUUUUUCAAUCAUUUGUUUGCAAAGUCUAAUCUGGAAGGGGAAUUAAUAUUAUUAAGGACAUUUUAUGUGCAAGGGCUGUGCCAGGCAUUUAACAAGUAUUAUCUUGUUUAACCCUCACAAUGACCCAGUGGCGGGGGCGGGGGGCAUUACUACCUAUACCUACAUGAGAAAGCAGGCUC
rnacentral:lncRNA from 10 species